GGAUGAGUAGCUCAGUGGUCAGAGCUUAGGUCUCGUAAUUAGAAGGUCCCGAGAUCGAAUCUCGCUAGAGCA
rnacentral:tRNA from 1 species